rnacentral:rRNA from 1 species
CAGCCGCCGCGGGAAUACGAAGGGUGCAAGCGUUACUCGGAAUUACUGGGCGUAAAGCGUGCGUAGGUGGUUGUUUAAGUCUGUUGUGAAAGCCCUGGGCUCAACCUGGGAAUUGCAGUGGAUACUGGGCAACUAGAGUGUGGUAGAGGGUAGUGGAAUUCCCGGUGUAGCAGUGAAAUGCGUAGAGAUCGGGAGGAACAUCCAUGGCGAAGGCAGCUACCUGGACCAACACUGACACUGAGGCACGAAAGCGUGGGGAGCAAACAGGAUUAGAUACCCCCGUAGUCCCUGUCUCUUAUAC